rfam:Schistosoma margrebowiei strain Zambia genome assembly, scaffold: SMRZ_scaffold0000332
AUCCUCCUAAAUCCGUGCAGAAAUUUCGUCAGACACCAGACCACUAGGACUGAUGAGACUUAAGAUGGUUGAAGUG